CAGUCGCCGCGGUAAUACGUAGGGUGCAAGCGUUGUUCGGAUUCAUUGGGCGUAAAGGGUGCGUAGGUGGCGGUGUAAGUCUAACGUGAAAUCUCGGGGCUCAACCUCGAAAUUGCGUCGGAUACUGCAUUGCUAGAGGAUUGUAGAGGAGAGUGGAAUUCAUGGUGUAGCAGUGAAAUGCGUAGAUAUCAUGAGGAAGACCAGUUGCGAAGGCGACUCUCUGGGCAAUUCCUGACACUGAGGCACGAAGGCUAGGGGAGCAAACGGGAUUAGAGACCCCUGUAGUCCCUGUCUCUUAUAC
rnacentral:rRNA from 1 species